AUCUUGGCUCAGGAUGAACGCUAGCGGCAGGCUUAACACAUGCAAGUCGAGGGGCAACGCGAGUAGCAAUACUUGGCGGCGACCGGCGCAAGGGUGCGUAACGCGUGAGCAACAUGCCCGUAUCAGGGGGAUAAUCCAGGGAAACUUGGUCUAAUACCCCAUAGUAAUUUUGUAAGGCAUCUUAUAGAAUUUAAAGCUUUGGUGGAUACGGAUUGGCUCGCGUGACAUUAGCUGGAUGGUAAGGUAACGGCUUACCAUGGCUAUGAUGUCUAGGGGUUCUGAGAGGAAGGUCCCCCACACUGGAACUGAGACACGGUCCAGACUCCUACGGGAGGCAGCAGUGAGGAAUAUUGGACAAUGGAUGGAAAUCUGAUCCAGCCAUGCCGCGUGAAGGAAGAAGGUCCUAUGGAUUGUAAACUUCUUUUGUAUGGGAGCAAUAAGGCCUACGAGUAGGUUGAUGAGAGUACCAUACGAAUAAGCACCGGCUAACUCCGUGCCAGCAGCCGCGGUAAUACGGAGGGUGCAAGCGUUAUCCGGAUUUAUUGGGUUUAAAGGGUGCGUAGGCGGUUAUUUAAGUCAGUGGUGAAAGUUUUCGGCUCAACCGGAAAAUUGCCAUUGAUACUGGGUAGCUAGAAUAUGGUUGCUGUGAGUAGAAUGUGUGGUGUAGCGGUGAAAUGCAUAGAUAUCACACAGAAUACCGAUUGCGAAGGCAUCUCACAAAGCCAUCAUUGACGCUGAGGCACGAAAGUGUGGGGAUCAAACAGGAUUAGAUACCCUGGUAGUCCACACUGUAAACGAUGAUAACUAGCUGUUGGCGAUACACAGUCAGUGGCCAAGCGAAAGCGAUAAGUUAUCCACCUGGGGAGUACGACCGCAAGGUUGAAACUCAAAAGAUUGACGGA
rnacentral:rRNA from 1 species